rnacentral:rRNA from 1 species
AGUGAACGCUGGCGGUAGGCCUAACACAUGCAAGUCGAACGGCAGCACAGUAAGAGCUUGCUCUUACGGGUGGCGAGUGGCGGACGGGUGAGGAAUACAUCGGAAUCUACUUUUUCGUGGGGGAUAACGUAGGGAAACUUACGCUAAUACCGCAUACGACCUACGGGUGAAAGCAGGGGAUCUUCGGACCUUGCGCGAUUGAAUGAGCCGAUGUCGGAUUAGCUAGUUGGCGGGGUAAAGGCCCACCAAGGGGACGAUCCGUAGCUGGUCUGAGGGGAGGUAGCGGCCCUGUGAAGGUGAGACACCGCACAGGCACUGAGGGGGGGCACAGGGGGGGACUGUUGGAAAAGGGGGGGAAGCUUGAACCAGGCAUGGCGGCGGGGUGAAGAAGCGCCUCGGGUUGGAAACCCCUUUUUUGGGUAAAAAAAGCUUGCGGUUUAAACCCCGCGUGUUUGACGGUAACCAAAAAAAAAGCACCGGCUAACUUCGUG